GACGAACGCUGGCGGCGUGCCUAAUACAUGCAAGUAGAACGCUGAAGAGAGGAGCUUGCUCUUCUUGGAUGAGUUGCGAACGGGUGAGUAACGCGUAGGUAACCUGCCUUGUAGCGGGGGAUAACUAUUGGAAACGAUAGCUAAUACCGCAUAACAAUGGAUGACACAUGUCAUUUAUUUGAAAGGGGCAAUUGCUCCACUACAAGAUGGACCUGCGUUGUAUUAGCUAGUAGGUGAGGUAAUGGCUCACCUAGGCGACGAUACAUAGCCGACCUGAGAGGGUGAUCGGCCACACUGGGACUGAGGCACGGCCCAGACUCCUACGGGAGGCAGCAGUAGGGAAUCUUCGGCAAUGGGGGCAACCCUGACCGAGCAACGCCGCGGGAGUGAAGAAGGGUUUCGGAUCGUAAAGCUCUGUUGUAAGUCAAGAACGGGUGUGAGAGUGGAAAGUUCACACUGUGACGGUAGCUUACCAGAAAGAGACGGCUAACUACGUG
rnacentral:rRNA from 1 species